AAACCAACUGGGAUUACCUUAGUAACGGCGAGUGAAGCGGUAAAAGCUCAAAUUUGAAAUCUGGUACUUUCAGUGCCCGAGUUGUAAUUUGUAGAAUUUGUCUUUGAUUAGGUCCUUGUCUAUGUUCCUUGGAACAGGACGUCAUAGAGGGUGAGAAUCCCGUUUGGCGGGGAUACCUUUUCUCUGUAAGACUUUUUCGAAGAGUCGAGUUGUUUGGGAAUGCAGCUCAAGUGGGUGGUAAAUUCCAUCUAAAGCUAAAUAUUGGCGAGAGACCGAUAGCGAACAAGUACAGUGAUGGAAAGAUGAAAAGAACUUUGAAAAGAGAGUGAAAAAGUACGUGAAAUUGUUGAAAGGGAAGGGCAUUUGAUCAGACAUGGUGUUUUUGCAUGCACUCGCCUCUCGUGGGCUUGGGCCUCUCAAAAAUUUCACUGGGCCAACAUCAAUUCUGGCAGCAGGAUAAAUCCAUUAAGAAUGUAGCUACUUCGGUAGUGUUAUAGCUUUUUGGAAUACUGUUAGCCGGGAUUUGA
rnacentral:rRNA from 1 species